UAUGCUUGUCUCAAAGACUAAGCCAUGCAUGUCUAAGUACGAGCCCAAGGACGGUGAAACUGCGAAUGGCUCAGUAAAUCAGUUAUGGUUCCUUAGACGAUACCCAGUUACUUGGAUAACUGUGGCAAUUCUAGAGCUAAUACAUGCAAUUGGCUCCGACCCCGACCCUAAGAAAGCCUAAGAGAAGGGGGAAGAGCGCGUUUAUCAGACGGGAACGGUAUAGCCAGUUCCUAGUUGACUCUGGAUAACCCUUGCCGAUCGCACGCCCACGUGGCGGCGACGCGUCUAUCAAGUGUCUGCCCUAUCAGCUGGAUUGUAGGAUCCUGGCCUACAAUGGGUGUAACGGGUGACGGGGAAUUUGGGUUCGGUUCCGGAGAGGGAGCAUGAGAAACGGCUACCACAUCCAAGGAAGGCAGCAGGCGCGGAACUUACCCAAUCUCGACACGAGGAGGUAGUGACGAAAAAUACCGAUACGAGUCUCUUUUCAAAGGCCUCGCAAUCGGAAUGAGUGCAGUGUAAAAGCUUGCACGACGAUCUAUUGGAGGGCAAGUCUGGUGCCAGCAGCCGCGGUAAUUCCAGCUCCAAUAGCGUAUAUUAAAAUUGCUGUGGUUAAAAAGCUCGUAGUUGGAUCUUCCGGGAGGGUURGUGGUAGUGGCGGUCCGAAUCGGACCCCUACACCCUAGCUGAGCUCCCCCUGGGGCAAUGUGUUAUCGACUGGGCACCGCUCUCUUCUUCAGGCGGAGGCGGGCUCGACUGAGCGGCUGGCCGUUUUACUUUGAAAAAAUUAGAGUGUUCAAAGCAGGCAGUGACGCCUGAAUAAUGGUGCAUGGAAUAAUUGAGCAGGACCCCGCAUCCUGUUUGGCUGGAUUGUCGGAUGUCAGGGGUAAUGGUAGACGGGAGCGGCACGAGGGCGAUCAGACUGCGACGUCAGAGGUGAAAUUCUUGGAUCGUCGCAAGAUGUUCCGAAGCGAAAGCAUUCGCCAAGUACGUUUCCUUCAACCAAGAACGAAAGUCAGAGGAUCGAAGACGAUCAGAUACCGUCGUAGUUCUGACCGUAAACUGUGCCAAUUGGCAGCCCGUCGAAGUCGGCAAAAAUACGGUUACUAUAAAAGUGCUGUUUACUCGACUCGGCGGGAGGCUUCCCGGAAACGAAAAUGAGGUUCCAGGGGAAGUACGGUUGCAAAGCUGAAACUUAAAGGAAUUGACGGAAGGGCACCACAAGGAGUGGGGCUUGCGGCUUAAUUUGACUCAACACGGGGAAACUUACUCGGUCCGAACACUGUUAGGAUUGACAGAUUGAUGCGGUUCUUUCUCGAUUUGGUGGGUGGUGGUGCAUGGCCGUUCUUAGUUGGUGGAGUGAUUUGUCUGGUUGAUUCCGAUAACGAGCGAGACUCUAGCCUGCUAAAUAGUGAGCCCAUGUGUCUUCGUGCACACAAUGAAGUCGGGUACGCAACAAAGCAAACUUUCACUUCUUAGAGGGACCGGUGGCGUUUAAGCAAGCCACACGAGGUAGAGCCAUAACAGGUCUGUGAUGCCCUUAGAUGUUCGAGGCCGCACGCGUGCCACAAUGGAAGAAUCAGCGUGGAUUACUACCUGCUCCGAGAGGAGUCGGGAAACCCCAUGAAUGUCUUUCUCGGUUGGGAUUGCGGAUUGCAAUGGUCCCCAUGAACGAGGAAUUCCUGGUAGGCGCCAGUCAUCAGCUGGCGCCGAAUGAGUCCCUGCCCUUUGUACACACCGCCCGUCGCUACUACCGAUUGAGUGGUUUAGUGAGGCCGUCGGACUGGAAUCCGAACCCUAAGCCUAGGCUAGGACGACGGGAAGACGGCCGAACUUGAUCAUUUAGAGGAAGUAAAAGUC
rnacentral:rRNA from 1 species